rnacentral:sRNA from 1 species
GUUCACAGGGAUCGCCCCCCAUCAGCGCGUUGCGCCCAUGGGGGCGUUUGGC